UAUCAUUAAAAAUUUUAUUCCAACGCAUUCACAAAUAUGAAGGACACACACAUUUCCGUUUACAAAUGGGAUUCUUAUCGCCUGGGAUACUGACUGACGUAGUUUGUUGUAGUUACUUAUAUUCAACGUUGGUAGCCCAGCUCGAAUAUUUCCUGUAACCUUAAUUUGUAUUUGUACGUUCUCAAUUGUAACAAGAAAACUACCCUAAGGACCACUUCCAUAGUUUGUUGUACCGAAUUUUGAAAAAUUGGAUGUUCACUACAAGCAUCGAACCCUAAUUUAUAAAAUUCACAUUGAAUUUGGUGAUUAUUUUCGAGACGAAUUGUAGCCAGAAA